AUCGCUCGUUGUGUCCCUGCGUUGGACUUCUAAUCCAAAGGUCGUGGGUUCGAAUCCCACCUGAGAUU